AAAAUCGCUAAAAAGCAUUCUACUAAGAAGAUUUGGUCUUAAAUUUUUUUGUUUGAAUUUUUAAAGUCAUCCUCCCGGGCCUAUUCUCAAUUCCUACAAUUCGCGUACUUUUCUGUCAUUCAUAAAAACAAACAACCGUUCAUGUACUACGUGUUUAAUAUUGAGUUCAUUCUCAAUCUCGUACUUCUUAAAUUUCCUUCAGACAGGAAGCCUCCCAAUCAGACACUGCGCGGGUUUUUGUAUAAACGUAAAAAAAUACUUGACAAAACAGCUAUUUUUUACAUUAGCAGUUUUUGUGCGCAUUGAGAGUACUCUUGGGGUCUUUUGAGGGUCUUAGAAAGCUUGUAGAGCCAGCUUAAUUCUACUUGUGUUAAGUCUGUUACUGAUCUUAAAAGUGAUAGGCCCCAUAAAAGGCUUGGCUAAUUCCUUGUGAUUUUCAAGCGAUUAAAUAACUGUAAAUAAACUCACCUUACUCACAUGCACGGCCUUGAACAAACGACGAUGCUUUGCUGAAAAAACAAAACAAAAACAGAGUGAAUUAUUGUUGAAGGCUGCUCACGGCGCCCGGCGUCUAACUAAGGAGCUUUUGGAUUAUUGAGAUCUCAUUGGAUACCCCGCCGGUAAGAAGCCUGUAUUUUUUGUUUAAUAAAAAUGUCUAACGGAAUACGAAUUAAAACUCAGUUUUCUUAAUUCUUUUCGACUUAUGUGAUGUUUUAUUCGGAUAUUUUUCACUUUUAUAAUUGAGAAAUAGGAAUUUUGCCUGCCAUGUUUUUUUUAACUUUCGCAUGUCCCGGUUACCGUAAUUACAUGUAAUGAAAUUAAUGGUAAACGUCCUGUAUUUAAUAACUAAAGCUUGUGGCUGCUCUGAUCAAUAAUUUAAUACCAAAAGGCCUAUUAUCCUGUAGUAUUUAUGUUAGAUCGAAAAUGAAUAAUUUCACCUUUAAAGUUAUGACUCGUAGGAUGUUAAAAUGAAAGGAAAAAUAAAAAUCCGAACACGCUAUUUUUUUUCGAGAUAUACAAGUUUUGACUAUUGAAGAUUAGCAUGCUACAAAGGGUAUUUGCCUUUUAGAUUUUUUAUUCAUCCCAUCCUUGUCCUGUAGUACCGAAAGCGGUCCGAAAAAGGCGCCAAAAUUGGAUCUUCCCGCCACAAGUAAUGCGCAGCCGACUCAUCCACCAGAUUAUUCGACCCGAGGAAAUCCACUUGGAGGUUGAAAUAAAUGUGUGAAAAUAUGUUAUCCCUUUUUCCCACUAUAUGUCUCGUGCUGUUUUAUUUAUUUAUCUACUAUUGUUAUCCAAACAUGAGAAACACCAAUUUUUUUUUCUCAGUUUGUGGUUGAGCUUAUUAUUUUACAAAAUAUUAUAUCACUAGAGUUAAUUUGUAUGGUAAAAAAUAAGUUUGUCAUGGAAAAAAACGGUCGAAACACCAUUAUUUGCGAACAUGAAUCUAAGUAGAUGUAUUGCGUGAAUGUAGUCAUGCAAUCCAACGCUAAGAAGGAUUUCAACGCAUCAAGGAACUGUAUGAUGGUUAGCCUGCCUGGCAAUUGAUAUAUAUUUUUUUACACUAAAAUGGAAAAAAAAAAUGAUUGCACCCCUUUGCAAGCCUGCCAAUAUAUCGACCACCUAAAAUCACCCCUCGAGUGCUUCUACUGAAAGUCUCUUCGGAGAUUUGCAUUUGAAGAUCACAAUCUUUUGUUUAAGGCAACAUAAUUAGAAAACAUGAAUACAAUAUUGAAAUAGAAUUACGCUUCUCAAAUGGACCGAUCUCAUCGGAUCUCGCUCAGCAUGAUGCUCUUACUCUACUCGAAAAUAAACCAUACCUUAAGUAGAACUCACUUUGUAUAGACGCGAUUGUUUGCCGUUGUCAUUAUUUCCAAAGUGUUUUAGAAGAAGAGGAAAUAGCCCCCUAGAACGUUAUGUCUCUUGCACAAGAUGUUUUUCUGUGUUUUAUUUGCCAUAAAUCUAGAACAGUUCGUGGGGUCGACUGGAGGUCGUUUUGACGCAUAGUGUUUCAGUUCGGCUUUCCAUCCACAAUAGCCCUAUGGCGAAUUUAUAACUAAAUUCACUUCAUUCAUCUUUCAUUCAUAAUAAUGCUCGUAACGGUAAAAUAUUUAACUUUUCUAAAAAAGAAUCUUACCAUAAAAGAAUUGUGGCCUUUUCUUUUCAACACUGCGGCUUGGCUUCUUUGUAAGUUUUUUGGAUGACCGUUUUUUGUUUGGCGUUGAACACAGUGCUGGAAACAAUCGUGCUUUUUAGAAUUACGAAAACUAUUUCGAAAUGCUGAACCGUACAAAGGGUUGUCUACUCUUGAUAACCAGGAAAUUUCACAGUUAAUACGUCACAACGAAUGUUUAUGCACUAUGAUUAUGUAGAAAAAUAUCGAGACCUCGAUCGAGAAAUCGCAAGAGAAGUUUUUCUUAGAUGUUGAAAUGGAAAUAUAGUAAAUAAUAUUUAUAAAAUGACGUCUUACCUUCUGUGCAGGAAAGUGUAUUUCCUAAAAUCUUUUAGAAAUGUAUGCCGAAUUAUUCCGUCUUACAGAUAUAUUUAGACUUAUCUGCUCAAUUUCGGCACUCCUUAAAAUAAAAUUGCCAGUAAACACUUUUCAGAUUUAACCAUCAAAUGAAUGCGCUACGAGCUUAAGGAAACACUGAUAAAAUAUCCGUUUUACCUGUGGAACCCGCCAAUUUUGUGGUAUCAGAAUAAAAAUGUAGAGCUAAAAUCUAAUCAUCUCUACCCAAUGUGCAUUGAUCACCUAGAUAUCCCCCUCGAGGGAGAGUCUGCAGCUACACGAACAAAUAAUGGAUACAAAUCCUUGCUGCCCUAAAGCUGUUUACAAAAGCAAAGCUAUUAAAAAAGAGUUUGCAAAAGCGCGCCAAAAGUCAUAAGUGAAAUUCUCAAUAUUUUCAUGUCUAAUAAGUGGUUUCAGUUUUGCUCACUUCUAAGAGACAGAUCCAUUACCGUAACGAAAAAAAAAUCGAAAAUCACAACUCUUUUACCAAAUUGUCAAAUCAAGAGUCAGAAUGCCUCAUAUCAUUUUAUGGUCACUAUAAAACCAUGCCAUCGACUCGAGUUUUCUCUCACCCGCAUUUUCUUCGCGUUUUUAGUUUGUUGUCAAAAUAGUCAUGAUCUAAGGGUAAUUUGCUAGAGGCGGCGUAAAUGUCAAAAUUUUAGUCUCCAAUUAGCGAAAUACUCCGUUACUCGGCUCACACGCAAUGGGACAUUCUUGAGUUUAAUUUGGAAAGGAAUUUUCCACUGUGCUGAUAAAGACAUUAUUAUGGGAAAUCGACGUGAUUUUUGCGAAAUGGUAGCCUUCUUUAUAACAGCUGCAUAACAUUGUUAAUCGAAAUCCCUUGAAAAAAUUUCUUGAUUAUAAUUUCCAAAUGCUCCAAUCAUUAUUUAUUAUUACUUCAAAGGACGCUUUUGCGACUCGAAUUUGGAUCCGAUGAAUGGUCAAUUGUGAGAAACGAUUACGAAAAAAUACUAAUUUGUGAGUAUGGUUGGUUGAAUAGCAUCUUGGCGAAUGUGGGAUUUAUUCCUAUGACUCUUUUCUGUCGUAAAUUAGCCAUGUUUAAGGCAGAUUAGUGGUUGUUCUAUUA